rnacentral:rRNA from 1 species
AUUGAACUGGCGGGAUCACUUCACAUGCAAGUCGAACGGCAGCACGGACUUCGGUCUGGUGGCGAGUGGCGAACGGGUGAGUAAUGUAUCGGAACGUGCCUAGUAGCGGGGAUAACUACGCGAAGCGUAGCUGGCGCAUACGCCCUUCGGGGGAAAGCGGGGACCUUCCGGGCCUCGCACUAUUAAACGGCCGAUAUCGGAUUAGCUAGUUGGUGGGGUAACGGCUCACCAAGGCGACGAUCCGUAGCUGGUUUGAGAGGACGACCAGCCACACUGGGACUGAGACACGGCCCAGACUCCUACGGGAGGCAGCAGUGGGAAAUUUUGGACAAUGGGGAAAACCUGAUCCAGCCAUCCCGCGUGUGCGAUGAAGGCCUUCCGGGUUGUAAAGCACUUUUGGCAGGGGAAAGAAACGGCACGAGAUAAUACCCCGUGCAACUGACAGUAUACCUGCAGAAUAAACACCGGCCUAACUACGUGCCAGCAGCCGCGGUAAUACGUAAGGGUGCAAGCGUUAAUCGGAAUUACUGGGCGUAAAGCGUGCGCGAGCGGUUCGGAAAGAGGAUGUGAAAUCCCCAGAGCUUAACUUUGGAACUGCAUUUUUAACUACCGAGCUAGAGAGUGUGUCAGAGGGAGUGGAAUUCCGCGUCGUAGCAGUGAAAUGCGUAGAUAUGCGGAGGAACACCGAUGGCGAAGGCAGCCUCCUGGGAUAACACUGACGCUCAUGCACGAAAGCGUGGGAGCAAAACGGAUUAGAUACCCUGGUAGUCCACGCCUAAACGAUGUCAACUAGCUGUUGGGGCCUUCGGGCCUUGGUAGCGCAGCUAACGCGACGAAGUUGACCUUGCAAGAGUACAGUCGCAAGAUUAAAACUCAAAGGAAUUGACAGGGACCCGCACAAGCGGUGGAUGAUGUGGAUUAAUUCGAUGCAACGCAAAAACCUUACCCUUGACAUGUCUGGAAUCCCGAAGAGAUUUGGGAGUGCUCGCAAGAGGAACCGGAACACAGGUGCUGCAUGGCUGUCGUCAGCUCGUGUCGUGAGAUGUUGGGUUAAGUCCACCAACGAGCGCAACCCUUGUCAUUAGUUGCUACGAAAGGGCACUCUAAUGAGACUGUCGGUGACAAACCGGAGGAAGGUGAGGAUGACGUCAAGUCCUCAUGGCCCUUAUGGGUAGGGCUUCACGUCAUGCAAUGGUCGGGACAGAGGGUCGCGCAGCCCGCGAGGGGAGCCAAUCCCAGGAAACCCGAUCGUAGUCUGGAUCGCAGUCUGCAACUCGAUUGCGUGAAGUCGGAAUCGCUGGUAAUCGCGGAUCAGCAUGGUGAAUACGUUCCCGGGUCUUGUACACACCGCCCGUCACACACCAUGGGAGUGGGUUUUACCAGAAGUAGUUAGCCUAACCGUAAGGAGGGCGAUUACCACGGUAGGGGAUUCAUGACUGGGGUGAAGUCGUAACAAGGUAG